ensembl:lncRNA
UCACCUGCAUGUUCCCAGAGAGAUGGGAGCCCCGAGCCAUCGGGGCAGGCUGUAAGGAAUCGACACGCUACAUCUGAACCCUAUUGAAAAAUAAUAAAAAGGUAAUGACUUUGUCAUUACUGGACAUGGGUUUGUCUGUUGGCACGGGGGGAGGCAGGGAGGUUUUCUGCAUUCAGGCCAUAAAUAACGUUUCCCAUUAUCCUCUGCAGUUCCCAUGCAUUCCUUAGCCCCUGCCUCGCCUCCGUUCCUCCCGGUGAACCCUGCGUGACAUCACGUUGGGCUGCUUGGGGUUCAGCCCAGGACACGUAUUGGACGGGAUCGGAUUUCAGGAAAGCCCACAGAUAAAUGGAAGUUGGUCACAAAGCCUGGCGGUGAAGCACAAACCGGUUAUUAAAAGGCCCAAAUAAAUGGUGGGGACUCCGUCUCGAAGCAAAAUCAGGGCGCAUCGGUGUUCAGUGCAAGGCACUCCAAAUUGCACACCUCGCUAGGUGGAGUUUGCUGGUGCAGAGGGGAUGGGAGGGCUGCAGAGGGCGGCUGGGAUGUGGAGCCUGCCUGGGAACAGCAGCACUUAAAGGUGUGCUUUCAAGUCAGUGUCCUGAGAUGUGAGAUGCCUACAAGGGUAUUUUUAAAACUGCAUUUAUAUAACUAGCUCGAUAUAAUUAAGGACUGAUUUCAGCUCAAACCAAAUAACUCCCUCUUGCACCCCGAUUCAAGUCUCCACACUGAGAAUUGCAUCUGUUGGACUAAAUUAGUUGGAAAACCAGGACAGCGUGAUGCUGUAAACAGACGUCGAGCUGCAGAGGAUAUUCCAGUUCUGUGUCCAGCUCUGCCACUGAUUCACCGUGUCCCUAGGCAAACCUCUUAAGUUUUCCCAUCUAUAAAGUGUAAUAAAACCUGUGUAGAUGCCAGGUGAUGCAGGGCUUAAUUAAUUAGCAAAUUAAUAUAAUGAACUCUAACUUGAAGGUCUGUAUCAGCACAAAUGAAUUGUUAAUAUAAAUUUUUAUUAUUUACUGCUAUUUAGUUGAUUAUUUUCUAACACCGGCAGGCUAUUACAAACAUACAACU